UCACCACAAAACGCGAGAUUAAGCUCGCUUUUUAACUGCGCUCUUACUAUUUAACCUGUUUCCAUUUAUUUACAUCUUAUUUUCAAACACACAAAGCAUACUUUGAACUAGAUCUAGAUAUUUUAACUAUAAAGAAAUCUCAAUUUUAUUCAUCUUGUUAUAUAUUCACCUCCUUCGGUCGUAGAACGACUGUGUCUCAUUUCUCAGAAAACUAUUCUGGGAGAACGUAACCUUCCAUACACAACGGAGGUAAAUGUGGCAUUCGUUUUGUUGAAUACGAACCAGCGAAUCUUUCGUUUUUCACAUUUUUAUCCCUACCAGCUUUUUGGCUAUUUAUAUCUUACUUUGUCUUCAUCUUGUUCCACAUAUUUCUUUAUCUAGGGUUUCAUCUAGGGCUCUAUCUAGAGCUUUAUCUAGGGCUCUAUCUAGGGCUU